AUUUUUUUCUUAUUCUCUUCUUCUUUUCUUCUUUACUUCUUCUCCUUCUUAUUUUUUCUUCUCUUCUUCUUCUUCUUCUUCUUCUUCUUCUUCUUCUGCUCCUCCUCCUCCUCCUACUCCUCUUCUUCUUCUCCUCUUCUCGUCCUCGUCCUCCUCCUCUUCUCCUCUUCUCCUCCUCCACCUAACUAACCAAGCUAAC
rnacentral:lncRNA from 1 species